rnacentral:rRNA from 1 species
UGCCUACGGGGCGCAGCAGUGGGGAAUAUUGCACAGUGGGGGAAACCCUGAUGCAGCGACGCCGCGUGAGUGAAGAAGUAUCUCGGUAUGUAAAGCUCUGUCAGCAGGGAAGAAAGAAAUGACGGUACCUGACCAAGAAGCCCCGGCUAACUACGUGCCAGCAGCCGCGGUAAUACGUAGGGGGCAAGCGUUAUCCGGAAUUACUGGGUGUAAAGGGAGCGUAGACGGUUAAGUAAGUCUGGAGUGAAAGUCCGGGGCCCAACCCCGGGACUGCUCUGGAAACUAUUCAACUUGAGGGCAGGAGA